rnacentral:sRNA from 1 species
GCGCAGGCCCGUCCCGGUGGCCGGGGAGCGGGCGGGUGGGGGCGCCAUGUGGUUCAUGUACCUGCUGAGCUGGCUGUCGCUCUUCAUCCAGGUGGCCUUCAUCACGCUGGCCGUCGCGGCUGGACUCUAUUACCUGGCAGAACUGAUAGAAGAAUACACAGUGGCCACCAGCAGGAUCAUAAAAUACAUGAUCUGGUUCUCCACCGCUGUACUGAUUGGCCUCUACGUCUUUGAGCGCUUCCCCACCAGCAUGAUUGGAGUGGGCCUAUUCACCAACCUCGUCUACUUUGGCCUCCUCCAGACCUUCCCCUUCAUCAUGCUGACCUCGCCUAACUUCAUCCUGUCGUGUGGACUAGUGGUGGUGAAUCAUUACCUAGCAUUUCAGUUUUUUGCAGAAGAAUAUUAUCCCUUCUCAGAGGUAAGAAGUAUCCAGCACAUUCAGCUGUUAACAGGGACAGGGUAGUAAAAGGGAACUUGCAUGGUUUACUUUAUAAACUUAGCUAUGAUUUGAAACUGAAUCUGUUCAAGGAUUACAUGUUUGAAAAAAACAAAACAUAGAUGGUUUGAGAAAGCUGUGUGGAUGGGGACAG